rnacentral:lncRNA from 1 species
GCUGUUGCAUGAAUUGCAUAAAGCCUCUGAACAUUCCAUCAUUCAUCAUUUGGUCAGUGUUGUUGUUUGCAUGAGGAUUGUCGCCUUCCUGAUGCACAUUAUCCUGAUUAUUGAUAUGUGGUGAAUCAACGGUCUCCUGUGCUCCAUUGCUAUUCUCAACAUUCUCGGAUGUCAUUUUUAGAUACUGCCACAAAACAAAAGGUUAAUUGACAUGUAACAUAU